rnacentral:lncRNA from 1 species
UGCAUCAUACUUUUUAUAUGAGAUACAUUACUAUUUGAGCAUUCCUCUCUAUAGAGCAUAGUUGUGUAGUAUAUGUUACCAUUUCCAUCUAAAAAUCAGAAUUAUAAAAUUAAUAUUUUAAAAUAGAAAUUGUAAAAUUAAAAUUGUAAAACUAAUUACCUUGUAACGUGGAUCCAAAAUUGAUACAAUUGAUAAGAUUGUGCUAAUCAUUCCCCAAUACUUAUCAAACUUGGUUUUCAUCACUUUGUCAAUUUCGUGAAUUAAAACGUCAUCAUAUUUAUAAACUCAUUUAGUUUUAAAUGACAUUCACACAACAAAGGAACGUAUUGAUUGACCGAAGGAUGAAUCGACAUAGAAAAGGUUUGAGUGACAUCGAAAAACAAACUAAAACAUUGAAGACUUCUUUGAAUUUAAUUAUUGUUUCCAACAUGAGAUAAUCAAGAUUUAAGACAAAUUUACUCUUUGGAGCACCUAUUUGUAUUGCAAAUUCUGUAAAUUGUGUUUGUUAUCGUCGGAGAUCUUACAAACUUCACACUUUUUUUUUGACGUCACGUCAUUAGUAUGUUUUACAACCUCUUGCACUAUUAAAUUAAUAAUGUGUGUUGUACACCAUACAUGUAAGAACUGUCCAUCUAACACUAGAGAUCUCAGAGGCAAACUUUUCUUGAUAUUUUUAACUAUGGCAUCAUUAGUAGUGUAGUUGUUCAGGAUGACACAUAUUAUUUUUUGAUCCACGUUCCAUUUGAUAAAUAUUUCCAUAAAAGCUGAUGAUAUUGCCUCUACUGUGUGUGGACAUUCAACUUCGAAAAAGUUUAAUCUUCUUGAUAGUACAAGGUUCGACACACAGACCAUAGUAUUAAAAGACGUAUCCCAAGAUAUCCAAUAUGCAGAGGAGGGGGGAGUACUGGUGAUACAGUAUCCCGAACCCGGUCACAACUUACCAGCAACUAGAAGUCCGGAUAGCCUGAGAUGAGCUGAGGUACCUAUUCUACGUUUGGGGAGGUCCCAAGUCAACUCCUGGGAAGAUCGACUUCUGAGCAAAGUCGAGUCCCAGGAAAGUCGGACCCCGAGAAAGUCGAUCUUAGGAAAGUUGACCUUAGGACCCGAUCUGAUCAGUUAGGCGGUUACUGCCCAAAUGACCAGAUUACCCCAUAAGAAUCUCUAUAAAUAGGAGGCACCCCCCCACUCAUUGAAGGCAGGUCAUUUGGAGUGGAGAAGUCCUAGCGAAGCAGAGCUAUACGCACGUACUUUAGUUCCGGUCCGAUUUCCCGCGGAGUUCCCCGCCUGGCGCUUGCUGGAAGCGUCUUGGAGUACUGAUCGGGUUUCACCCUCAUCACUUCUCUUUUGCAAUUUUCAAUCAGAAUUGAUAUAAUGUGUUGUUAAUGCACAAUACUCUUUAUUUUGAAUGAAGGUCCACAUAUCACUAGUUUCGUACAACUUGCUUUUUUUCAUUUUCAUACAAGAGACAACAGUCAUUUUUUAGAGUACAUCUAGAGAUCAUCUUAAAUUGGGGUUGUAGUGAAGAUAUAAAUUUUUUUAAGUCAUGAUGUUCAACGAUGGUGAACGGGUAUUCAUGUAGCAUCACCAUAUUAAUUAGCUAAGGCCAAUUUAUUACUUGCUUGAAGAAAUUUAAAAUUUCUGAUAUCUUAACCUUGUUGGUUACAAUUCAACAUUAUUUGAGAUAUAAGAUUAUUUUUCUUAGAAGGAUGUCGUUGUUGUUGUUCCUUCUGUUUGUGUUGGAGUAUCCAUAAGUAAAAUAAAAUAUCAAAUGAUAAGAAAAGAUAAGAAAAUUAAUAUGAAAACAUGUACUAACCAACCCUAUGAUGAAAUCUAGAAUUUAUCAGGAAAAAAAAUGUUUCAAUACAGUGUUGCUAUCUAUAUAUGUAUCUGUUUCAAUACAGUAUGACUGCACAUUUAAAGCUUGAAGCUGAGAAGUUCCUUAGUAGCUCACAUGGUAAAGUUCUUACUAGACUUUCAGUGUAGUCCCUUAUCCGCACUGCUAUCACCGGUAGAAGACCACUUCCCAUGAAGCCAAAGAACAAUCUUUAUCUGGUACUCACGUCGGAGGAUGUCAUGAUGGAAGAAUCUUUAUCUAAUUGACUCUUCCAGUGGACGACGUUGUUACACUCCAACUGGUGGCUCUAGCACAGUAUGUGGAAGAAGGAUCGAUGUUCCUUCUAUUUUGCGCACAGUUGUCGAACUUCAAUGAGAAUUGACGGCUCAAUGGGAGUGGUCAUAGACCUCCUGAAAUCCUUCACGCAUUGAGUUUGUAAGAUCUGCAAUGGAUUUUGUGGUCGCUUUCCACUCUUGUCAGGUGAAAUGAUUAUCGACCAUACUUUCAGAGAUAUUCCAAUCGUCUAGCCUUGCUCUGAUACCACUUGAUGUAGGAUGAUCCUCUGAAAACAAUAAAUAGGAGGGAAUGGAAGAAAAGGGAGAGAUCUUCUUCACAAUGUAGGAGUGGGAUAUUUGGAAUCCACCAAGUAUAGAUCUAGAAAAAGGAGUAAGAACAGUAAAAAAUAGAACAGUAGAAAAAAACGAGGGGGAAAAUAUCAAAGGUAGAUAUCUGAUUUGUACAUAAAUCAAUAAUGAUUCCCUCCUUACUAUGUCCAUUAUAUUUAUAUUCACAUUAAUGGUAAUGAGUAUCCUAAUUGAUGUGAGUGAAUUAUUCUUUGAUGAAGGCAAUUACAAUCCAAUUUGGAGAUUUCAGGUCCAUUGGUAAAUGCAGUUAUAAUAAUAUCUUGUAUUGAAUUACCAACACAAUUGGUUGGAACAAAAAAGAAGAAAGGGUAAAUAUGAAAUGUAUAUGUAAAAUUUAUAAUGACACAAUCUUACGUGAUGUAGUAGAUAUGAACGCGAUCUAUAUUUUGCUUGCAGGACCAUGACAAUUUGAUGUUGAUGUUACACACCAUGGAAGAUAAAAUACUUAUAUAUUUUGGGUUGAUUGAGUAAAGAUAAUGAAUCCCACUCUUGCCGGAAGAUUUAAGUCCAUCAACACAUUUGAUACCCAUGGACACCUAGUAAUCUGCCAGAGCUCUAGUUAUUAAAUAAGACCCCCUAGGCUCGGAAGGUUUAGGUUUAAGUUGUAGGCUAUAAAUAGCAUAAUAGAGGAUCCUAGGUAGGGGUUACUGGGUUAAUCUUUGAGGAUAAGUCAUCAAAAGGUUGUUAGACAUAUAUAUCUUUAGUUACAAAUAAACUACUGUUAGUUACAAAUAUAAGUAUAAAUAGACUUGUAUGACCCACUAGCUUGAUAUGACACUAAUUGUAUUUUGUUUUCAUAAUACAAGAUUAGUUCUUUUUAAUCAUACUCUGUUUAGGAAUUCAACAUGGUAUCAGUUGUGUCCUUAAGAGUUGAUUAUAACUAUUCAACAAGCGAUUUCGUCUUCAAAAAGAUUCCCAAAUCGCAAAUUUCUUCUUCCCCAAAUUUCGUCCAACGCAAACGACUCUACAGAAUUAAGAGUUGAAUAAAAUAUUCAGCACAAUCUGCAACACGCGCGCACGCGUUUCUUGGUGAUUCUUCCCAUCUUGAAGAUGACGCGAUUCUGCAUCCGAGAUUUGGUGAUUCGCCGAAAUUUUCUCCGUGAUUCCAGAAUGCAGAACUGCACGCAAUUGACUCCGUGAUUUUCUUCACGAACUGACGCGUCCGACUCAGAUUCUGCUUGGAUACAGCACGAUUCUUCCUAUGCGAUUUCAUGAUUCCAGACCCUUCUGAUCGAUUUCGCUAUUCCGGAUUGUUAUCUGUACAGAUUAAUUCCAGAUUUUUUUGUGCGGAUUAUUGCAGAAUGAGGAGUUGAGAUUUUCCGAGAUUUUUCAUCUUAAAUCUUCGAGCAGGUCUGAUUUUUUUCCCAUCAGUAUUUUUUUUCCUUCUCUUGUGCUUUUAUAUCAGACUGGUAUGGAAUCCGAUUCUUGUUCUUCUGAAUAUCCUAAGACCAUUGAAUCGAUUCCAGAUUACUUGCAUAAGUGUCAAGUGUCGCAAUGGAUUCACAUUCUGCUUGAGCUAAGUGAUACUUAUCCAUUCUGGAAGGCACAGAUGGAAAAUCUUCUUCGAAUUCAUGACUUAACAUAUUUGAUUAUUGAGCCAUUGAUUAUUCUCUCAGAAAAGUUUUUUGAUGGAUCUUUCAAUCCUGCUUUUAAAAUUUAGCAUCAAAAGAAUUGGAUUGUUAUAGGUUGGAUUUAAGCUGCAGUUGGGUCACCAAUGUUUUCCUUGGUAUUGAAACACAAGACUGCAUUAGAUUAAUGUUGGAAGACACUAGAGCUACAUCUUUCGCCACGCAAGAUGGUCCAUUCACAAACAAUUCGAGAUGAACUACGCCAUUUAAAGAAAUUGGAUAGCGAGACUAUGGAAGAAUUUAUCAUCAAAGUUCGAGCAUUGAUGGAUGGGCUAUCAGCAUCAGGUGAUCGUUUGUCUGACAGAUUGAUUUUAUGGCUGAUGGUUUGGGUGUGGACUUUCGUCCCUUUUUGUCAUGUAUUUACUCAUAGAAGAAUUUAUUAUUUGAUGAAUUUAUUCAUCUUGUUGUUAAGGAAGAUAUUUUUCUUCGUCGCUACACAAAUCAAAGCUCCGCCAACGAAUCACCAACAGCUUUCGCAACAAAAUGUAGAGUCUACAAGAACAAGAAUUACAAUAACCGCAACUCUGAUCAUCGUAAUAAAUAAUCAAACCAGAAAAAUGAGAAAUUCAGCAACAACAAAGGUUCAAGAGUAAAGGGAGAUGGAGAAAUCCAACAACCAUAGUUUGUCAAUUUUGUGAUACUCCAGAACAUGGAGAAAAACAUGUAAGAAAGCAGUAAGCAAUGGAAGCUAUGGAAAAUGAAGGCAAAGAUAGCAACUGGUUGUUAGACUCUGGCACCUCUUUACACAUGACUCCUGAGAUCGACAAGUUGUCAGAUGCUCAGGACUUCAGGAGUACUCAGGUAAAAAGUUCAUAACUAUAAAGAAUGGCCUUGGUUUGUCAAUCUCUCAUAUUGGUGUAGAAUCUAAAUUGCCGAUACAUAGUUUGUAUUGAUAAUCAUGUUUAAUUAACCCUAAUCACGUUAUUAGUCAAUAUGGUGAAUUGAUAUUUUGAAUUGAACCUAAUUUCAAUUAGGUCAUAUUAAACCCUAGAAUUGGUUGACCAUGUUUAAACCAAGUCCAAGUCAAUUUAUGGUCAACAAGUCAACAUUGUGACUUUACUAUUUAAUAGGGUGAUUUGAUUUUGAAUUAAACAUAAUCUCAACUAAGCUCAUAUUAAACCCUAGAAUUAUUUGAUCAUAGGUAAAAUAAGUUAAAAGUCAAAACCCUAAUUCGUGAUCAAUAGAUCAACACUUUUUAACCAUGUGAUUAUUAAUAAUUAUACUUAACCUUGAUUAUGCUUGAAUUAAUAUCUUUGAUUAACGAAAUAGGUUGAUCACAUAGGAUAAAAAAAUGUGUAUUUUUUGGACAGAGAUAUCACAUGAGUUAAAAAAACAUAAUUUCCUUGGACAAAGGAAAUGUCUCACACGUUGGAGACAACAUGCUUUAAGAGUUUAUUUUAACACUUUUACCAUAUGACUAUUAUUUUUAUUUAAUUUUGAUUAUUUUUGAAUUAACAUCUUUUGAUCAAGAAAUUAGGUUAUUCACAUGAGUUGAAAAAGAGUGAUUUUCUUGGGUACACAUGGUAUGAGAAUAUUGAUUUUUCUUGGACAAAGAUAUGUCUCACACGUUGGAGACAAAAGCAAGAAUUGUAAAUGCAAGAACUUGUCUUAUUAAAGGAAGGAAGAGUCUCCAACACAAUUUGGAUUCUAGUGAGGAAUCAUAAAACCAUUCAAUCAAGAUCCAAUGGUGGAGAUAAGUUGCCCAACACUAUAAAUAAAGGGGUAUGUAUACCCAUUGCCAACGCCAACCACACUUCAAAAGCUUUCAAAAUUCCCACUUUGAGUUCCAUAUUUCCACUCUCAAGUUCACCACCUUCAAAGCUUUUAAGCUUCCAACGUUCAAGGUUGUGUAAAAGUGUUCUUUGCUCAAAGUUCCAAAAAGCUCUACACUUCUUCUAAUCUUCUUGAGUGAUCCAAGUUAAGUUGAAGUGUUGUCCAAAACUCUUACAUCAUUUUUGUGUGUGUUCCACUUUGGUUGAGAGAGGUUGUUCUCAAGAUUACCAAGGUGUGAGGUUAUUGAGUUGAACCAAAAAGCUCAGGAUGAUUUUAUAGUUUCUUGGUAAAACUCUUAGGUGGAAUCUACCUGUAAACGAUUCAAGGUUCUUGAGCGUAAUAGCAUAGUAAAAGCUCUGGUUGAUUUUAUAGAGUUUCUUGGUAAAACUUUUAGGUGAAAUCUACCUGUAAAAGAUUCAAAGUUUUUGAGCGUAAUAGCCUAGUAAAAGCUAUGGUUGGUUUUAUAGAGUUUCCUGGUAAAACUCUUAGGUGAAAUCUACCUGUAAAGGAUUCAGGUUUGCCAAUACCUUUAGACAAGUGAAUUUUGUGAGGGUAUAUCACGAGACUGGACGUAGAUCAGUUGAGACUGAACCAGUAUAAAUUCCUUUAUGUUCUUUUGUUUUUAUUUUCUAUUUUUAAUAAUCUAACAAGUUAAAAAGAAACAAAAAGAUCCCUCAUCCAGUUAUCUGGUCAUAAACUGAGGUUGACUACUUUCGUGCAGAUCCCUCAUCCAGUUAUCUGGUCAUCAUCUGAGGUUACUUCAAGUUAAAUUUAUUAUCCAGUUAUCUUAUUAUUUAUAUACUUUAACUUAUAUUACAACUCUUGUGCUUAUAAGAGAACUUAGUAUUCAUAUACUAUAGUUGGCUUAUCAAGAACUAUUAUUCAAGUUAAAGUCAUUAUCCAGUUAACUGGUCAUUCAUAAUAUAUUUUAACUUAUAAUAUAACGUGUGCUUAUAAUAUAACUUAGUACUCAUAUACUACAGUUAGUUAUAAAACACUAUCUGAUAAAUUGACUUAGUAUUUAUAUACUAUAGUUAACUUUGAAAGAGAAGGCAUUACGGUAUAUUAUAAAAUACAAUAUUAUACUUACUAAAGUUAUAUAAUAAUAUUUUAUUACUCACAAUACUAUAUUAUUAUUAUCUUUUGCUAUUGUAUUCUUAAGUGUUUUUGCAGAUCUUCCGCUACAAUCUGCAUUAAUCGAAAAGAGGUUAUUAACCCCUUAUCUAGCCUCGGAUCAUGAUCCAACAAUUGGUAUUACCAUUAUCAAAACCGAUAAUGGCACAAUCUCAUUCAAGAACACAUUGUGUGUUCCAAAUUUAAAAAUGAAUUUAAUUUCUACACAAUCCAUGGCAAAAGAUUUAAAUUGCAGUUUUAUUUUAAAUGGAACAAAUUUUAAAGUAAAAGAUAAUAUAACGGGCAUGAAAUUACUUAGUGGUAAAGGUACUAUCUGUAGCACAUAUCUGUAGAACAAAAGGUACUUAGUGGUUUAUAUCAUAUAAGCAAAUCAAACAAAAAUUCUAGUGCAUUGAUACUAUCUGUAUCUUAUUUAAUAAAAAUUCCAUUUUAAGAAUGAUUUCAGAAAAUUGUAAAAAUCUCUUUAAUUAAAAACAAAUAUACAUGUAUUGAUUGAUUGCCCCCUAAAUAAAAUGAGAAAAAUACCUUUUAUCAAUAGAAUAGAAUAUAGUAAAAUUCCCCUAGGUGUAAUACAUAUGGAUGUUUGGGGUCCUUCACCCAAAACAUUGAUUCAUGGAUACAAAUACUAUUUAUUGACUAUUAUUGGUGGAUGAAUGUACAAUAUUUUCAUGGAUAUAUCCUCUUUUAUACAAAAGUCGGGUAUUUGAAAGUUGUAAGGAAUUUCAUAUAAUGAUCGAAAGAUCUUUAGAAUUACAGAUAAAAUCCAUACAGACUGAUUGUGGAGGUGAGUUUCUCAAGUCCUUAUUUUCUACCUAUUCUAAAAAUACUGGGAUAAAACACAAACUCUCAACACCCUAUGCCACAGAAGAAAAUGGAUUAGUGGAAAGAAAACAUGGUCACAUAGUCUCUGUGGCUAGGUGUUUCUUUACACAAUCUGAAGUUCCAAAAGAGUAUUGGAUGGAAGCAUAUGCUGCUUCAGUUUACACAAUAAAUAGGAUUCCAUCUAAAACAUUAGAUUAUUCUUCUCCUUUCUCACUAUUGUACAACAAAGAACCGGACAUUAGAUAUCUAAAAGUAUUUGGAUCUCUAUAUGUUUUCCAUUAAUACCCAAAUAACUUAAUUAGAGAUAAAUUUCAACCUACAACUUCUUACUGUUGCUUCUUGGGAUAUUCACUAUCCCAUAAAGCUUACAAAUGUCUAAGGCUUAGUGAUUUCAAAAUUCUGAUAUCUAGACAUAUCAUAUUUUUUUAGGAUAUUUUCCCUUUUAAAGAUUACAAACUGAGAGAAAAGAAAACAACUAACCAAAAGCUAUCUCUUCCAAUACUACCAAGCAAAACACAUUCUAAAAUUGAAGAAACAAUAAUAACUCAACACCGUACCUAUAGACAAUGAACAAAAUUCUAUUUCAACAAAUUCACAUAAUAUUAUGUAGCAGUAGCGUCCGCCGGAGACGACGAUCAAUGGCCGGGAGUUGCGGAACCGAUAGAAGUUUCUCCAAGGAUUGGAGUUGGAGAUUUGGAAGAAGAUAAUUUCCAGAAGGAACCAGAGAUUUACGAGAAAAUUAUUGUUGAAGGAAUUGAUAUGUGUCCUCUUGUAUUAUUGUCUAUUUAAAUGAAAUUACAGCUGAAAACAAAUAACAACCCACUAUCACUCAUAACAGAAUUCAGGUGUUUGUGUAGAACGCCUCGUGCGUAACGGCCGGCUGGAAUCUGCGGGAUUCUUAAUAAUAGGGUCGCGCGUCUAUCUUAGGUCGCGCUUGAGCUGAGUUACGCACUCACUGGAUCGGUGUCGAUUGUUAAUAAUUCAACUUCUGAAUUAAACACAGAAUUAAGCACAAGAUCUGAAAAUUUACAGAAUGCUGAAAUUCCCAUCACAGUAGACACCACUACCCAAGACUCAUCCCAACAAACCACUCAAAACACAAUAGCAGAAUUUCGACAUCACACUGAACUAAGGAGAAGCAUGAGAGAAUCUAGACUUCCUAGCAAAUAUGACAUUUACAAGAUAAAUCUUCCUACAACAUUAAUAGCUGAGGUAUUAGAAGACAAAGAAUUGAUACCCAAAAACUUUAAAGAAGCUUUAGAAAUUCUUCAUUGGGAAAAAGCCAUGAAUGAGGAAUAUAAAGCCUUAAUAGAUAAUAACACUUGGACUUUAGUUAAACCUAAACCAAACACAAAUGUGAUUGGAACCCAGAUGGACUUUAGUUAAAAUUAAAAGAAACCCAGAUGGAAUCAUUUAAAGAUAUAAAGCUAGGUUAGUUGCCCAAGGUUUUAUACAACAAGAAAACAUAGAUUAUGGACUGAUUUAUAGUCCAGUUGUUAAGUAAUCAACAAUUAGGAUUGCUUUAUCAAUGGUUGUAAACAGGAAUUAUAUACUAAGACAAAUAGACAUUAAAAAUGCUUUCCUUCAAGGAGAAUUAAAAGAAACAGUAUGCAUCGCUCAACCACCAGGAUAUUCAGACUCCAGUUACUCAGAUUACGAUUGUAAACUGAAUAAGGCAAUAUAUGGCCUUAAGCAAGCCCCAAAAUCCUAGUACUCCAGAUUAAGCAAAUACUUAAUUGUAAAUGAUUUCUCAAAAAGUAAUGCAGAUACGUCUCUGUUUGUAUACAACAAAGACAACAUACUAAUAUGGGUAGUAGAUGAUUUGAUCAUCACUGGCAACAAUAAAGAGGAGAUUGAGAGGUUUAUAAUUAAAACACUUAUGCAAUUAAUUUAAAUGCAGAAAUUUAAGAAUUUUAAAUUUUUUCUUAGGAAUGCAAGUAAUUCAUAACUUUGAUGGGUCAAUAGAUGUGAACCAGUCAAGAUAUGCUUUGGACAUUCUUAGUAAAAAUAACAUGCUAAACUGCAAGGUGUGUAAAUCACCUGUGGUUCUUGGCUCUAAAUUAUCAAAAAAUGAUGGGGAAACUAUAACAGACAUAAAAGCCUAUAGAGCCUUAAUAAGAUCUCUUCAAUACAUAACGCAAACCAGACCUUAUCUGACAUAUGCAAUCAAUCAGGUUGCUCGGUUUGUUCAAGAACCAAAGACAACACAUCUCAUUGCUGGCAAGAGAAUAUUGAGAUAUAUAAAAGGCACUCUGAGUCAUGGCCUUCAUUUUUCUAGAAAUAGACAAAAUCAACAUAUGAUUGUAGGAUAUUCAGAUUCGGACUUUGCAGGUGAUUUAGAUAACAGAAAAUCAACUACAAGCAUUUGUGUGUUUGUGGAGGGUAAUUUAGUCACCUGGGUAUCUAAGAAACAAGCAACAGUUUCCAGAUCUAGUGCAGAAGCAGAGUAUAUAGCUCUAGCUUUCUUAGCUACAGAACUAAGAUGGACUAAAUUUAUCUACAAUGAUCUUGGUAUUAAAAAUAAACAAACCCCUUUAGCAUUAUCAGAUAAUAAUUCAACCAUUUUUAUGACAUCGAAACCAGUAAUAAAAAAAAGAUUCAAGCAUAUUGAAACUGAUAUACACUUCAUUAGAGAUGUAAUUACUAAUGGAUGUUUAAAAUUGCAACACAUAUGUUUGGAUAAACAAAUAGCAGAUAUCUUUACAAAAGCAGUUUCUCAUGAAAUAUUUCUAUAUCUUUGCAGGAAACUCAGAAUGAAUUUCAAUAUAUAAAAGUAGGAUCUAAAAUAAUUAUAGUCAUAAACUAAUUUUUUAUAUUGUUUGUUUUUCAUAUUAGAAGCAGAGAUUUCUUCUGAAAUAAGCUAAAGACUAGGAGGGUAUAUACAUUCUAAUCCCAUCUGGAUAUAGUUUUUGAAACAAAUAACUAAAAUAAUGAGAGGGUUUCCCAUCAUAAACAACUAAUGGGUUUUUGUCCCUUACAUGAGAUUAGAUAAUUGUUUCACUAAUGAAUUACAUAUUGCAACACUGGGAGGAGUCCGAAAAUCAAAGACGACUUUGAAUUCUAUAAAUGUUCAUUCAAAAUAUGUAACAUUUAGGGAAGGAUGUUAGACAUAUAUAUUUUUAGUUACAAAUAUGAGUAUAUAUAAAUAGACUUGUAUGACCCACUUGAUAUGACACUGAUUGUAUUUUGAUUUUCAUAAUAGAAGAUUAGUACUUUGUAAUCAUACUCUGUUUAAGAAUUCAACAAAGGUAAUCCUAAUGCUACUACGUACCACUAGAAGUUUCAAUUCUAACGCAAAGCAUACGUACAACACAAAUCUUUUGAUUUGAGUAACGACUUGAAAAGUAUGGAGGAAAGGGAUAUCUUAGGUUAAACAAGCAAGGAAUAUUGAAACUGAAGAUGUUAAAGAAAUUCUAAAUGAGUUCCCCCCCCCCAUUAUAAAAACAACACUGUGUUUUUACACCCAGCCCAAAGUUGGUACCUCACCCAGUUAGCUAGGUUAGCCCAAUGGGCAAUCGAGCCCCAAAGUCUAAUUGUUUGGUUACACUCACUAACAAUGGAUUCAAUCCUGAAAUCCACAGAUUGUUUGGUAGAUAUUAGAUAGAUCAUGUGAUUAAUCAUCUUCACUAAAAAAAAGCAUACAUAACAUACCUGAUACACCCAUGUUAAAAAAGAAAAAAUAUUGGUAAAAUAAGGACCCACUUGCAACUUUCUCUUCAGAAACCUUUUUUAAAAACAUCAUAGUUCAAACUACUAAAUCUAAUCUUGCUUCACAAUUCACAUGUCAUGCGACUUGCAAGCCUCUUUUUAUGCCUUUUUGCUGUUUUCUUUUCAUGCCCAGCUAAUAUCCGGGUCUGGGUUGACCCAAACCCAUUUACAUCCUUAAUAAUAAUAAAUUAACAAUUAGCAAAUAGAAAUCUCAAAUCUCAAAUCUCAAAUCUGGAAUGGAUAAAGAUAAACCUCAUUGGAACGAAUGAUUUCAUAAAAAUAAGGUAACAUGGCACCGGUAAGAUUACCGCAGAAUACGGAGACACCCCUACUUCUUAACCAUAAAAAUUCUAAGAUAUUUUCUUCUUCUUCUUAUUCGUACAUUCCCCGUAAAAACGGAGAGGUUCUCUUAUUUGCCGGCCGGUGAGCUUUUUAUCUGCCACCAAUUUCGAUACGUUCAACCCACACCUCUUCUGGAUUUCGAGGAUAUUCAAGAAUUAAUCACUUAAUUUGUAUUUUUGUAUUUGGUGAAGAAAACCAGAGAAAUCUUGUCGUCGUCGGCGUCGGUGUCAUCGUCAGUUUUCUCACGACUUUCCCGUGAGACCACCACCACACUCUUCCUGUUUUCAUUAUUACAUUACUCAAUACAACUUUCCUCAACUCAUCUAUUUUUCAUGAUCCUAAGAUUCUGUGCUUUCCCUCCUCCCUUCUUUCUAUUUUUUGAUGCAUCUUUUUUCUUCUUUUUUUCCGACAGUAAACACAGAUUUUUGUUUUUUCUUCUCUUCUAUGGCCGGUGAUCGACGGCGAUGAUGGAUUACUGUAACCAGAUGAAAUCUACAGACGAAAUCGUAAGAAGACCGUUGGUUCCUUUCGAAAAGACCAAUGCUUCUUCUGCUCCUCAUUCUUCCAUCGUUCCCAACAUUAGGAAGCUUCGAACCAGAGAAGUUGUUGGGUCCAGAUACUCGUCUACUACUGGUAUGGGCACCGGUGCCGGAACUGGUACUACGGGAAUGGUUGGAGGUAAUGGAAAUGUAAGUGCGGGGGGGAAGAGGCAUCCAUCUCCGGUUUCCAGUAGAACAGGGUUGGGUACAGCUGCAUCGAUGAUAGCCAUGCCUAAACGUGCGCAAUCUGUUGAGAGGAAACGGCCAGGUGCUACGACGUCGUUGAUGAGAUCUUCCGCACCUUCUUCUCCGUCGGCAAAAACUCCCGCUUCUUCUCGCGGUUUAUCGCCGUCGAGACAUUCUGCAACGACAACGCAAGGGAUUCACGAUUCGUUGGUAUCGGCAGCGGCGAGGUUGCCGGUUUCUUCACAGAGAUCGACGGAGGUUCUGUGGCCGUCGAUGCGGAGUAUGUCUUCUGCAUUCCAAUCUGAAAUCAUCUCGAUUCCGAUCAGUAAAAAAGAAUCCAAGAGCUCUUCUUCUUCCUCUUUAAAUUUCGUCACAGAGAGGGAGAGAAAACGGACUUCUCUCCCAGGACGGAGCUCCAGCACUAGCAACGAUCAUCUAGAGAAUAACACUCAUCACAAUCACAAACCCAACGCCACUGUCGUCGACCAACACCGUUGGCCAAGAACGACAACCAACGGUCCGAAAAUCGCCGCUGGGACAACCACUCCAUUUCCCUCCCGAGUUGGAUUUUCAUCGAGAUUAGCUACUCCGAUAAACAUCAGUAGAUCAGACAGCGAAACAACACUGUCGUUAGCUCGGUCGAGUAGAACAAUGUCACUACCGUCAUCACCCAGUAAAGCUUUAUCACCCACCUCCUCCUCCGGGAAGAGGAUGGGAAGUCCAUUUCGCACAAGACCGUCGACUCCAUUUUCUCCGACAUCACCAUCAUCUUCUUCCUACAGCAACAUUUCAGAUAAUUACCGGAGAUUAAAGAAGAGCCCAAAUCACAUAGAAGACGCACACCAACUCCGCAUAUCGCACGUCCGACAUCUGCAGUGGCGAUUCAUGAAUGCGAGAGCAGAAGAUUUUUCUUCUUUUCAGAAACUCGCAAUGGAAGACGAACUUUACAGCACAUGGAUCAACAUAACAGAUCUGCACAACUCAGUCAGUUCUUUGAAAAUCCAAAUCCAAAAUCUGAAGCAAGAGAUGAAGUUGAAUUCGAUUUUGGAAGAACAAAUGGCGUACCUCCAUGAUUACUCAUCUCUAUCGGAAAACAUCCAUGUCAACUCCUUGAAUUCCGCCAUUACAGCAUUGCAGGCCAGCACCAUGCGUCUUCCACUCACCGGAAAAAUCACAGUAACUACAUCUAUCCAUCUCUCAUCAAUACCCAUUUCAUGAAUUCAUUAAUUUCGUGUGUUCUUUUGGUCAGGCUAACACUCACACAUUGAAAAACUCCAUCAAAUCCGCCAUGGAUGUCAUGCAGUCAAUGGGAUCUUCAAUCCAUUGUUUAUUAUCAAAGGUGGAAGAUACUGACUCUAUGGCUUUUGAGCUGGCCAAUCUGACCGUCGAAGAGACUUACAUGCUCCGGGAAUGCAGAGAGUUACUGGUUUCGACGGCGACGAUGCAAGUGCAAGAAUCAACCCUGAGAACACAACUAUUGCAAUUACACAGUGUUGUUGGUCAAACACAGUUGUAGCUGGUUUUAUUCGUUAGCCGUAGAUUUGAUUUUUUUUUAUCGAUGAAUGGAGUUUGAUUUUUUAAUCUACAACAUUGGACACGUGGACAGAAGUACAGAAUAACAGAACCAAGAAAAUCCACGUAUAGAUACCAGAUGUUUGACACGUGUCCAACACAAUCUAUUCAAUAUAUAUAUAUAUAUAUAUAAAUACUGCUGUUUUUCUCAUCCGAAAUCUCUAAUGGCGGCGAUUCCAACUACCACGGCGAUCCUUUCCGCCACCGUGAGUCGGAGAAACAAAGGACAAACUACUUUAGCCUAUUCUUCCUCGGCUCUAGUUAACGGGUGGGUGAAAUCGAACGGAUUACGAAUUGGGUCACCGAAGAAGAAGAAGAAUGAAGCUUUGUUUCGUCUGUGGAAGUCCGGUGGUGUAGCAGCUACUGUCUGUGCCAAAGCAUCGAGCAGCGUCCAUGAUUUCACAGUGAAGGUGAGAUUUUACUGUGAAGAAUAAAACAAUCGAGUUACAGUUUACAAAUCUGUGAAUCAUUGGAUGCAGGAUAUCGAUGGGAAGGAAGUGUCUUUGAGCAAAUUCAAAGGCAAGGCUCUUCUGAUCGUCAAUGUUGCUUCACAAUGGUAAUUUUUUUCUUCCGACUCGAUUCAAUUGAUCUGAAUUUCUCAAAAUUGGUGUAAUUAAAUUGUUUGUUUGUCGUCAGUGGGUUGACUUCUUCAAAUUAUUCGGAACUGUCGGAGGUUUACGACAAGUACAAGACCCAAGGUACGAGAAAACAUAUUUAUUCGGAAAUUUUGGGUUUGAAAUUAACUUAUUUGUUCACAGGAUUUGAAAUUCUGGCAUUUCCAUGUAAUCAAUUUGGGUUUCAAGAACCAGGAUCGAACCAGGAGAUAAAGCAAUUCGCAUGCACACGAUUUAAAGCCGAUUUCCCCAUCUUCGAUAAGGUGUGUGGACUGUUGUAGAUUAUAUUAGACUAUAUAACUAAUUGGACCAUUUAGAUGAUAAUGGGCUGGGCCAUUACAGGUUGAUGUUAAUGGGCCGUUCACCGUUCCGCUCUAUUCAUUUCUGAAAUCCAGUUCUGGAGGAUUAUUACGUGACCUUGUGAAGUGGAACUUCGAAAAGUUUUUAAUUGACAAGGAGGGCAAGGUGGUGGAAAGAUAUCUUCCCACUACCUCACCUUUGCAAAUAGAGGUAUGAUUAAUUUAUACUAUUUUUUUUUUAUAACAUAUAGGGUGCCAAAUAAAGUUCGGCUCGGCGAGCCGAACCUGAAGCUCAAGCUCGUUAAACUUAACGAGCCGAGCUCGAGCUUUGACAUUCCAAACUCGGCUCGGCUCAUUAAGCUCGGUGGGUUCAGUAAGAGGAGUAUAAUAAAAAAUAUAUAUUAUAUUUGGAAAGAAUGAAUAUAUAUCCGUAUAUCGAAAUCCGUAUUGAUAUCCGUAUUUGAUACGAGUUCGGAUACCUAAAUUGAUAUCUGAAUUUUAUCCGGACGGAUUCAGAUAUCCGAAAAAUCCGAAUUCGUUUAAGAAUUUCAGAUACGGAUAUCCGAAUUAGGGUUAAUGUUAGGGAUUCAGAUAUUCGGAUAUCCGAAUAAAUAUAAAUUGACUUUCGAAUUUUAGGGUAAUUAAUUGACUAUUAAUUAACUUUAUUAAUGAUAGUUUUAUAAUUUUAUUUUAAGAUUUUUAUAAAAAGAUAUCCGGAUUCUAAUUAUUCAGAUAUCCGAAAAUUUAUUUGAAUUUUUUUUAUCCAGAUAUCCGAAUUCGAAUUUUUUUAUCCGGAUUUUAUUCGGUCGGAUUCGGAUUAUCCAGAUAUUAUCCGGAUUCGUAUACCUGGGUAUCCGAGUCGAAUCCGACCGAUAUACAAGCUUAAUACGUGAUAACCUUAUUAUAUAGGACGGAUUUGGUUCGGAUAUCCUGGUAUUCGAAUCUGGAUAAUAUCCGGAUAAUCCGAAUCCUUUCGAAUAAAAUCCGGAUAGGAAAAUUAAAAUUUGAAUCAGAAUAAAUUUUUGGAAAACUUUUUAUUGAAAACCAGAUUAAAAAAUAUUAUAUUUUACAAAACAACCCCUAUAUUUAAAAAAAAAUUCUGACUCUCUGUUUAAACAAAUAUAACACAAACAUUUAAUAAAUAAAAUUAAAAAUCUGAUAAAUAUAUAGGUCGUUUGCUGCGGGGGAGUUCCAAGAACUCCGUCGUCAUGCGGAACCACGAAGAUGGAGUUCAGGAACUACGCUCGUCGAAUCGCGGAAGUCUGAACUCUAUCUUCACAAAAUCAGGAGAAAGACCUCAUCCGUCGGAUUUCAAAUCCAAUAGAUGAGAGGAACACCUUCAGCUAGCUUCACCUGAAGGUGGCUGUAAAUAUAUUGUAAUUAAAAGUAUUCCCAUUUCCGUUCAGCCAGUCUAGGAUCACUCAGUACCCCCUACUUUUUUUUUUUUUUGUUAAAGUUACUUUGAUUAAAUGUAAAUAAGAGUUUAAAACAAAUAUAAAUAUUGUUCAAAAGACAAGCUAAAUAUAACUAAUCCCCCGGUAGUCAGCCAAUCCUAACCACCAUCAUCCCCAUCGUGGAUGAGUAGGAGUAGAGCUUCCCAUUGUAGCAGAGCUCUUGAUUCCUUACCUUUCUUACACUGUUUCUUGUAGCGAGCCUCAUCAAAACCUAUCUCCACCAUAGCAAUGCAUCUUCGUAGCAAUGAUUGUCCAUGCUCCAUCGUCUUUCCUUUCUCCAUAGUCUCCCCAUGCUCGAUCAGCCACCGAUAUUUGCCUCUGAACAAAAACAAAAUCGAAUAACAAAAUCUGAAGUUUAAAAGUUCUGGCUCGAGAUAAUGUGAGAAGAAUCAAGAUCUCUUCUGAACUGAGGAUGCCGAAUUGAACCGAUUUGAUCUUGGAUACAUUACAAAGGGACAUCUACCCAUUCCACUUGCGAUAAUUUCCAUUCAUCUCUGGUUUCUUCCAUCGACCAGAUCGUAGGAGAAGAGGCUGGAGGCCACCGCCAACCAGAUCGUAGGAAGAAGAGAUGCUGAUGACGGUCAGAUCCGACAGAUCGACAAAUCAGAGAUGACCAGACUAAUAAUUAAGUAUUUCGAUACACCACUUAAAUAGAAUCUGCUCAUCUGUUUCCACGACAUAAUGCUGCCACUCAUUUUAUUUUAGUAUGGUACCAAUAUUAAUUGUCUAUUCAAAUCUGACGGCUGACACGACUACCAAAGGUGUCUUGUUCCGGAGACACAACGAAACGUGUUGUGUUCAUUUUUUUGAUAACCAUGUUUUAUUAAUUAAGAUUUGAUAAAGACCUCAAUUUGUUUUUUUUGAUACGACAGAAAGACAUCCAGAAACUGGUUGCAGCGUGAAACUGAAGGAAUUCCAUGAGUUUUGCUUGGGCCUUUGAGAGAAAAUUCAAAACUGCAGCAGAUUUUAUAUCAAAAAAUGUAGAUUUUUCGUUAUAUUAUAUUUAAUGCUUAUGUUAUUUGAUUCACAAAUCAGAAGGCAGAAAUUUUUAUUUCUAAAUGAGAAAUGAUUGUAAUUUGUUAUACAAUUUCGAUAUGUGUCAAAAGUACCCACCUAAGAUGGUUUGCUGGUCAAAACUAACCACCAAAGCUUAGGUCUUAGGUGGUUAGGAGUUGUUAGAAAGUAAUUUUUUUUAAUUUACCUCUUAUUAGUUAAUACUCGUCGGUAUGACCCAAACCCGGUAACCCGUUUCGAGGGAGUGUCCAGUGAGGAGUAGUCGAAACGGAGAGAUAUGUGAUUUUAGAGUCGACGGAGAUUAGGGUUUGGAUGGAGAUUUCGGGUUUCCCGAUUGGGAGUGGAGUCGUUGACUAGUUUCUUCUUCUUCUUGGCUAUGUAAGUCUUCCACUUCUUUUCGAAGUUGUUUUGAUGUUUUUGUUGUUUCUUGAUGGAGUGAUUUGUUUCGGGAUUUGAUUCUUCUGGAUUGGAUUGAUUUGGAUUUAUGGAUAUGUUCUGGAAAUUAAAUCAGCUUUAUUUGAAGUAUAAGAAUUAAGAUUCCGUCUUGGAAGUUGGAGGUGUUUCAGAGGAUUGUGAUAGUGUGGUACAGAGUAUAUACCAGACAAUCUACUAAGUGUAUUACAAAUGUUUUCCCCCUUUCUACAUUCAACCCCUAAGGGUAUUUAUACACUUUCCUACUGAAUCAGGCCUUUUUUCACUGGUCAAUUGGGCCUGCUAGGCCUGGUAGGGGAUGGGUUUGGUCUGAUGGACCAAGGGUAUCAUCAGAUUGAUUUCCCAACCUUCCCAACCCUAACCAUGUCGGUCCUGUCCAAUUUUUAACUGAUUUCUGCAACCUUGUUUGAAGAAGAAGAAGGGUUUGAUUUGAAUUUGUAUGAGCGUGCCUUGGAUAACUGUGGCUCGCCUCGCACUACCCCUGCCAUCUCCAUUCUCAUGAUUACACGGCGUCCUUUAUAUUCCCAUGGAGAGGAACCCGCGAAGAGGGGUCCCGUAGAGGUGAGGCGGAAGAGGGAGCGCUGACGGCCUCAACGGCAGUGAUGCGGAGAAGCCUGAUAAUGAGCGUGCCGUCCGCGAUGUUGUUUGGAUGGCAUCCAGCCAUCGUUGGGAGGACGAUGGGUUUUGGAUUUUUCUGCCCCAACAAAAAUCUGUCUGUAUUUAUUUUAUGACAAUGGCAUCUUCAAAAUUUUGAUUUAAUUGUAAGGGUAAAAUGGUCAAAAAAAUUAUAGGUGGUUAUUUUUAACUCCAAAGCAAGUGGGUACUUUUGACAAUUUCCCAUUAAUCAUUAUGGAAAAAUAUCAAAUGCGGAUGAGCCUCAAAUCCUCAAUGAUGUUACAUUCAAUCAUCAUAACCACACGGUGGCAGGGGCGGAGCCAGAAUUUGUCGGUCUCCCAUCAUAAUCCUCAUAACCCUGCGGAGGCAAAAAGAAAUAUUUUUGGAAAUAAAAGGGCUGUAUGGAUCCUAGGUUCAGGUCGAUGGUGCCCCCUGGCGCUCCCUCUGGGUUUGUUUGUCCUGGCGUCUCGGGUCAUUCGUUAACCUGAUUGACUAGUCCUCUGCCCACGUCUAUGUCAAGGUACUCGAGACACCUUGUCUUUCAUGCCUCAUAUUCUAUAAAAAGACUCUCUCAGGUCCAUGCUCUUCUCCAUUUUCCCACUCUUGCUCCUACUCCUACUCCAGCUCGCCCUCCUGCAGGCUUCUGCCUUCGCUUCUCAUCGACCCAAUGACCUCUACUUCUAAAAAAUCCAACCAUCGUGAACGAUCGUCUGACCUCUCUUUUCAGUCGAGAGCCAAGCCGCAACUGUACUACCCAAUUAUAAAAUAGAUAACAAAAUAGAUGUCCCAAUAUUUUCACAUACAAAUGAUAACAAAAGGAGUUGAAAUCAAAAAUAAAGUUCAACGACAUUAAUCUUAAUGCUAACUCUAAUAUAAAUUAUCUAAAUCGCUCCUCUAUAUUGCUUCCUUCUCGAUGCACUCCGGGCUUGGGUAACCCAUUUAGAUAGUGACGAACUCAUUCCCUGCAUUCCCUGCAGUAUGAAUAAAAAUAAAUACUUCUACUUCCGAUCACGGUUAUCAUUAAUGUCAGGCAUCGGUCACCCUACGAUUGGAUGUCAAAACAUCUCAAUCUAUCUGUCAUUUACAUCACUUAUUUGUUAUGUCAUACUAUUGGUUAAACAUUUUUUUAAGUGAUUUAGAUUAAAAUAAAAUAAAGAGAUUACAAUUAACAAUAACUAACAUAAGAAAACAAUUACAUGAACAACUAAAGGAACGAUAGGAUCGAUGUGUGGAAUAAGUAGUACUUGCUAAUCCUCGGCUUGUACGUAGGUCAGUAACUAAUAGCGAGACUUCCUCCCAUGUAUCUUCUGGUAGAUGUAUCUUUUAAAUUUACCCUGUGCGAUUUUUUAUAUAUACAGACACUGUGGUCAUAGAUGAUAGCCAAAUCCUGUAUGAAACCCCUUGCGAUAACCUUGACCGGCUGAGAGAGCCUCUCCUUAUGUCGUAGAUUUCUCUCCUUCCAAAGAUGUCAUAUAUAUACUGCUAGUGCAUUCCAAUGUAAACCCCAACAUGAAGCUGAUUUCCUGAAUUUGGAUAUCCCUUCUAUGAUAUCACUCACCCUUAUAUCUCAUUUAUGACCAUAAUCUUGUUUUAUCGUUGUGAUACUCAUAAUCUUCCAUAGAGCAUAAUCUGUCAAUCGUGUAAAUUCAUUCCAGAGAGAUGGUUGUCAGUGAUAAUUUUGUUCUUAUAAGGCCCGAUUUCAUACUUCCACUGCCUGAGCGAGGAUCCAACCCUGCAGAAAAGCAUAAUUCGAUAUUCUCUUUGGCUCUCAAGAUGCUAAACCAGAUCGGGGAGUCUUUGGGAUGGAUUUGAAAAUCUGUCAACUCUCUCCCUUUGGAAUAUCAUGCCCACAUCCAAACCGCCCAGGGAGAACUUCCAUUUCAGAUUCUAUGCGCCCACUUGACCCUAGCAACUCUUGCAAGUAGCACCAGAUCCGCCAAACCUAGGCCCCCGUCCUCCUUAGCCAUAACCAUUUUGCCCCAUGCCAUUCCUUUAGAAUCCCCCCAGAUAAACCGAUAGAUGAUUUGUCAUGCUUUUUUGAUAACCAUUAUGAGAAUUUUGAGAGAUUGAAACCAAUACUAUAGUUUCCCCAUUAAAACCUAAUUUACCAGUUGGACUUUACCUCCAUAGGACAAAACUCUGUUUUUCUACUUUUGAAGAUAAAAAUUUAAUUGAUCUACUAUCGGGGCACAAUCCAUACCUUUAAUAUCCCUUACUACUAGAGGUACACCUAAAUAUUUCAGCGGUAAAAAACAUUCCUGGAACCCCAUCAGCUAUAGUAAAUCAUCCUUGAUCUGUUCACAUGAAAUGAAGAAUAUCAUUGAACUCUUGGAACAAUUAAUUUUCAGUCCUAAAUUUUUUGUAAAAUCAUCCAGGACCGCCUUAAUUGCCCUAAGAGAUUUAAGAUUGACCUUUGCAAAACAUAUCACAUCGUCGGCGAAAAUGAGGUGCGUUGGAGAGGUCGCCCCCAUAACGAAGGUAUCCAACUCUCCACAUUUCUCGACGAGGUGCAUUGACUGCGUAAGAUUCUCCAUAACCAAGUUGAAGAGGAUCGGUGAAAGUGGAUCUCCUUGUCGAAGCCCUCUCCCACUACCAAAUUGGACCGAAGGCUCUCCCUCUACGAGGAUAGAAAAAGUCGCGGUCGAGAUACACUGAAUGUUGAGUUUGACCAAAGCCCUUGAGAAUCCCAUACUGAUCAGAGUGCUACGAAUCGUUUCCCAGCUAAUUGAAUCGAAGGCUUUUGUAAUAUCGAGACUUAUAUAGACCUGCCUUGUUGGCGGUACACGCAUGUUUCUUCUGCUCUCUUCAGGGGGGAGUACUGGUGAGACAUGCCUGAUUACGUCAGCCACUCACAACAACGCCCUUCAACAAAGACUAGGGUUUUGUCGCUUUAUGCCAGACCCCCGGAGAGCUCCACGGUUGCGGGCAAGUGUCUACGUCAAGUACUUAAGUCAACACUGGGAAUCGACGACUGGGACUACCAAGUCGCCGACUCCAGAGGUGAGCCACCGAUUCCAGGCCAAGUUGGCCAGUUCUGAUAUACUGCCAACCUGGCUCUUGGGGAAUCGAUGGCUCCUCCCUGAGUCGACGACUCUUAUACCUGAGUUGCCGACUCCCAGACGUUACUUGACUUGGUCCGCGUCAUUGUGGCACCAUCAAUGGGCCACCAUAAUGGCGUGGGCCCCAGGAACAAUGAAUGAGAAACGCCCCAAGGACCCUAUAAAACGGGCCCUUGGGGGGUCCUCAUUCUUAUCUCAUUCUCUCCAAUAUCACUUGAUUACACACUCCAACCAUAGCACAUCUAAGAGCCCGAGUCGCCGACUCCCACAUCUGAGUCGUUGAUUCCUCUCCUCUCUCCAGGUAUUUGACGUAGAGCGCGCAUCGUGGACUCCAAAGCCUCCGGCUCAUCUCGCAACCCCGCGAGCCCCCUGGUAGCAGAUUACGUGCUUCAUCAGCUGGCGCCGUCUGUGGGAAUAUCGAACUACGAUAUCCCAUUGUAAUCGCGAAAUUUUUUUCGCAAAGUUUGGCUCGAUUCCCUUCGGGUGAAUCGCUGACUUUGUGUCAAGGAAUCGUUGAUUCAUACCAGCAAUCGCCGACUCUACCUAGUGAGUCGUCGAUUCCGGGAUUAUUCUGCUAGCUAAGAGUGUUGUCCUCGACUUGGCUCGAAAGAGAAAAAACCUAAGGCCAAUCGCCGACUCCACCUGCUGAGUCGCCGAUUCCACUUGGUUUCUUUCGAGUUAGUUCGGUCAAUACUUGCGCUUCGGUUGGAAUUCGCUUUUGUCGCCAAUGACAUCUGAAAGACAAAAGCGCGAUUACCAUUUGAGGAACAAAGGUAAAUCCUCAAUGAUGCCCGGAGGGGCACAAACUGAGCUUCCUCAGCAUGACAGGCCAACAGUGCCAGAAAGGUUUGAGGAUGCUCAAACUGACAUACCCUCUCAGGCACCAUCCAUUCCUCCCACUCUAGAAGCGAGGUUGAUUAACUUCAUGGAGACCAUGGAAAAAAGGGUUAACAACCUCGAGAGAGCGAGGAGUCAGAGGACCAUCGCCCGCGAAGGAGCGGGUGAAUCGGCCUCUCACUAUUCUCCAUCUGCGGAGAAAAAAGAAGAAGGGUCCAGAACCACCUAAGUCAAAGGCUGGACCUAGUAAGAGUCGCACUGACAAAACUCUUACAACACGGUUCGUGGAAGAUCUCCGUCGGAAGCUGGCCGACGAUCCAGUCGCCAGCAGUCCGAUCGAGUUCCUAAGAAUCAAAAGUGCUCCUUUUCAUGAGGACCUUUUGAGGGUAUCUUUUCCACCAACCUGGCGGGUACCCAGGAUAGAAGCGUAUGACGGUUCGAGUGAUCCAAAAGAUCACAUCAACCUCUACCUUAAUGUCUUGGAACCGCAGACCACCGAUAAUGCGCUGUUGUGUCGGGCAUUCCCCGACACUCUCAAGGGCAACGCUUAUCGGUGGUUUUCCGGUCUGCCAGCUGGAUCAAUCUCCAGCUUUGUAGACCUCUCAUCCAAGUUCAUCGCCCAACAUGUGGGGAUGAUCAUGAUCAAACACAGUGCCAAUGCACUGCUGACACUACGACAGAACAAGAUGUCGUUGAGGGAUUACACGAUUAAGUUUACUUCAAUGAUGACAGAAGUGAGCGACCUAAUCCCGAGUCUGGCCAUAGCGGGGUACAUGAAAGGGCUAGUACUCUACUCCCCUUUGGCCCAGAAUCUUAUGCUCCAUAAAGUGGAGACUUUACCCGACCUCUUCCAACGAGCUCAAUCAUACAUUGAGGUGGAAGAGGAGAAUGAAAACAAGCUAGUGGAACUUGAGAGCACUAGCUUCAAAAAACCAAAGUUCGAGAAGAAGGGCUACAACGGGAAGAACAAUUUUCGUGGCUCCUCGAACAGAUACACUGACAAUGCGACUGAUUCUUUCAAGAAGGAAUGGAAGCCCAAACACGACUUCACUUCCCGACAUCUAACAAUGUCGCGGAAUACGAAGCAGCUAUACACGGCCUAAAGCUGUUAAAAACUUUCGGCGCUGAGAAUGUCACGCUUCGCACUGACUCCCAGCUCGUAGCUCGAUAAACCACUGGUGAAUUUGCCUGCAAAGAACCACAGAUCACUAAGUAUGUGGAGGCAAUGGUGGCACUCACCAAACAAUUCGCUGAGUUCAAAAUCGAGCAAAUCCCUCAUACUCAAAACACGCCCGUUGAUGCGCUGGCUCGCCUCGCAUCGGCUUGGGAGGGAGGUCAGCGCGAAAUCCUGGUGGACUCUAUACUCCAGCCAACAUGCCAGAUAUUGAGUGUCUCAUCCGACCCCCAAGAUGAUUGGAGACAACCAAUAUUGGCAUUCAUUCAGAAUGGAGUACUUCCUGACAAUAAAGGGGAGGCCAAAAAACUAAAACACAAGGAAGCCAAAUAUUACGACUACGGAGGGAUACUCUACAAAAAAUCCUUCGACAGUCCGCUGCUGUGUUGUUUGGCCAAACCUGACACGGAUAAGGUGAUCUAGGAAGUACACGAAGGUUUGUGCGGGCUCCAUGAGGGAGGAAGAGCACUUGCCUUCAAAAUCAUAUGGCUGGGGUACUAUUGGCCCACCCUACGGUUGGAAGCUCGCACUUACGUCCGCAAGUGCCGAGUAUGUCGGUUGUAUAGUCCAAUGCAACAAAAACCAUCUGCGGAUAUGACUCCGAUUCUGAGCUCGAUCCCGUUCGCAAGGUGGGGACUGGACAUCGUAGGACCAUUCCCACCCUCAACAUCCCAAGCUUGAUUCAUCUUUUUAGAGGUAGAUUACUUUACAAAGUGGGUCGAGGCUCAGGCUGUAGCGAAGAUCACUCAGAAUGCGGCGGUCAAGUUCGUCUACCGCUCCAUAGUCUGUCGAUUCGGAGUCCCCCAAUAUAUUAUCACAGACAAUGAUACGCAAUUUACGGGGGGCAAAUUUUCAAGAAUGUGCGAGGACCUAAACAUAAAACUCCACUUUGCCUCCGUUUACCGACCUCAGGCAAACGGACAAGUGGAGGUAACCAACAAGGCCAUCGUACAAGGACUGAAAAAGAUAGUCAAAUCAGCCAAAGGGGCCUGGGCAGACAAGUUGUGCGAAAUCCUAUGGGCAUAUCGCACAACAAGUAAAAACUCCACGGGCAACACCCCUUUCGCUAUGACCUAUGGAGUGGAGGCAGUCGUACCAAUCGAGAUGAGUAUACCAACGUACCGAGUCUCGACGUACGACGAACAAAGAAAUGACCAAAACCUAGCUACAGAGCUAGAGUUGAGGGAUGAAACCCAUGACGAGGUGGACCUGCGGAACGAAUCGUACAAGGCAAGCGUAUCGAGAUACCACAAUCGCCAAGUACGCAAAAAAGUCUUCCUGCCAGGAACUUUCGUCACGUGGAAAGCUAGCAUAACCGAGAGGAAUAGGUCAAGGAAUAAGCUGUCAUCCAACUUCGAAGGUCCCUACAUCGUCGAAGAGAAGAUAAGGCCAGAAACUUAUCGCCUACGGCAGCAGAAUGGAACAAUGGUUCCAAACACCUGACACGCGGACAACAUGCAGCAAUACUACGCUUAUUAUUGAACACAUUAUUCCUUAGGUCCUCUUAGUGUAUAAGCUAGUACAAAUUACAAAGUAGAAUAAUUAGAUUUUAUCUUUGUAAUUCUUAUUUCAAAAAGUCAAUAAAGUUGACACUUCUUUCAAAAUCACCUACCUACGACUUUAACUAGAACCCUACCUUAGAAAUCUAUUUUGUCGCUAUGGCCCUAAUAGAUUAAAAUCGUUUUGUCGCUUUGGCUUUAACGAUCCAACCCCAUCUUGUCGCUUUGGCCUUGAUGCGGGUCCAAAAGUUACUCUGUCGCUUCGGUCAGAGUUCAACUACAUUAGGGUAUAAGUAUAGAGUCUUAGGUAGUUGAUAAGUACAAAUGAACCUAACCCCAAGAGGUUCUAAGUACCCACAACACAUACAAAAAUUUAUUCUGGUCGCUAUAGCCUUAAUAGAUUAAAAAUCGUUUUAUCGUUAUGACCUAAACGAUUCAACCCCAUCUUGUCGCUAUGGCCUCGAUGAGGGUAAAAAGUUACUCUGUCGCUUUGGCCAGAGUUCAACCACAUAUUAGGGAAUGAAAUCUAAAGUCUUAGGUUCUAAAAAAUUCUAAGUCUUAGCUAAAAAUUCCCGAUAAUUUUUGUAUCUCCAACUUAUUACGUCAAUUAGUUUUGCGAUUCUUGAUUAGUUAUGAAGUUUAAUUUAUUUCGCGAGUUUAGCCGUAGACUAAGCUAUGAUUCGUACGACCAAGUCUACGCCCAGAGUGACUAGCAAUAGGGUUAGUAGAGUCUAAUUUACGUCCAAAGUGGCUAAAUUACGACUUGUGAAUCUAGUUUCAGGUCUUAGUUGCCUGAAACCCCGGUGGUGAGAGGUUCGCAGGCUGAUACUGAGACACUCAGAAGCGAAGGUGUCCCGAAAUCCUCAUCCCCCUCAAUAGAUCUCGAGCCCUGCUCGCACUGAUGAUGGAAGGGGGAUGUACAUCAGAUUGACGCGUAAGCGUCGCAACAGUCAUCACUUGUUCAAAUCGUCCCUCGCCCGAGCAGUCGACAGGGAGCAAUUGUAUGACGCCAUUCACAUACUUCUCACAGAAAGCAUAUCCGGUCGGAUUCACUGUUCCAAUAUAGCUGGGGAAAUCAACGUAAGGAUCACGACCUAGAUCCAUCUCGACCGGAGGUGGAGGAGUUCUUUCUCUUGAGCGUCGACCCGCAUUAGGAGCAGGUCGGGAAUUUCACGUUCGACGACUAACUCCUCGUCGAAAUUCAAGUUGUGAGGAUUCCCGACCUCCUACUCUUGGCCAGGCACAUGGACUUACCCUUGCUAUGGCUUCGUCGUCGUCUUUUCUUCUUCGAACCAUCGUCCUCAGAUGGUCGUUUAUUAGGGUUCAUCCCAGAUACGAUGAGAUCCUCAGCAUUUACAACAAGUGGCUCAGGAUGCGCACUUGAAUCAUCCACUGUUGCAAUGGGAAUCGCCGACUCAUCUACCGGAGUCGUCGAUUCAGCCUGGUCAGUCGCCGACUCAUAGCGUAUAUUAGCUGCUUCUGAGUCGGCGGCCAUCUUAUCCCUUCUCUUGAAGAAGACUUUCUUCUUGAAACCCUUGGGAAUCGACGACCCUGAAGUGGGAAUCGUCGAUUCAGCAAGGAUUUCUCUUUGUUCAGCUUCUGGCAUGACUUCCGGAACCUUGUCCGGAAUCGUCGACCCCGUAAAGGGAAUCAUCGACCCAGCCAGAGGCUCCAGCAAUUCGUGCACAGAGGCAUUCAGAUUGUCGUCGGCAGAUGGAACUAUCGGAAUCGUCGAUUCAACGUCUCUAGGAGGAGACGGAAUCGGCGACUCAACGGUGUUCAAAUUCUCGACGAUUGUUUCUUCUCCGACCAUCUCCGCGAUCAUAGCGGCGGCCUCGGCAUCAGUGAGGUGAGGAUUAGUUCUUGCCAUCUCAGAGUCAUCGAAUCAAGUUAAAUUAAACUGGGGAAUCGGCGACAGAAGGUUCUAGGGUUUGGGUAGGCGAUUCGAAUUGGGGAAAAGUGGAGUGAAAAGUAUAAAGCGUUCACCACUAUUUAUAGUCCCUGGGAAAAUUGCAAAAACUCCCUAGAGAAUCCAAAAAUUGCAAGGGAAGAAAUCGGAAAUCGAUCUUCAAAUCCCUGAAAUCACGCCCGAGUCGACGAUUCCCAAGUUGAAUCGUCGAUUCCAGUCACUAUUUUUCAAAAUUUGAGAGGUAUAUUUCCUUAAUUGGAAAAUUUGCAAAUAUUCUCCAAAUAUCUCUAAGGAUCUUCUGAAAGAUCCGACGUUUCACAAUAAGAGUCGACGAUUCCCAUAAGGAGUCGCCGACUCAAGGGGAAAAAAUUUCAAAAUAACUCUUACAGUUACCCAAAACUUAGGAGUCGACGAUUGGGGCACUCAGUCGCCGACUCAGGGUAAACAACAACAUAUUUUAAGGAGGGAGUAUCACAAGCUUUCUCCGACACUUCUGUCGCUUCGGCCAGAAGUCGUCAAAUCUCAAGGGGGAGCAUCACAAGCUCUCUCCGGCAUCAGGGUUCAAACUUAAGUUGUAAUUAGAAAUUACAAACGUAACCCUCGAGUUUCAAAUAUUUACAUCCUUCGGAUUUGUCAUUCGCGUUAUCUUUUACAACUCUACGUUAAUCUGGAGGUAUAAAUUAUCCGCAAAUUUAACCGUAGGCUGAGCUACGAUUCGUACAACCAAUUCUACACCCAGAGUGACUAGCAAUAGGGUUAGCAGAGUCUAAUUUACGUCCAGAGCGGCUAAAUUACGACUUGUGAAUCUAGUUUCGGACCUUAGUUACAAUUUAAAGGGUAAUUUAUAUGAGAGAUUAGCAAAGAAAAAACAAAAGAUAGUACAUUGACAAUCUAAGUCAAAUAUUUCGGAAAACUACUCAUUUCAAAAAUUAUGUGUCACAAUGGCACAAUUUUCGAGGGGGGUAUCACAAGCUCUCCCGACACUUUUGUCGCUUCGGCCAGAAGUAGUCAUAACUCAAAGGGGGGAGUAUCACAAGCUCUCCCGACACUUCUGUUGCUUCGGUCAGAAGUCGUCACACUUAGAGGGGAAGUAUCACAAGCUCUCCCGACACUUCUAUCGCUUCGGCCAGAAGCCGUCACAACUCGAGGGGGAGUAUCACAAACUCUCCCGACACUUCUGUCGCUUCGGCCAGAAGUCGUCACAACUCGAGGGGGAGUAUCACAAGCUCUCCCGACACUUCUGUCGCUUCGGCCAGAAGUCGUCACAUCUCGAGGGAGAGUAUCACAAGCUCUCCCGACACUUCUGUCGCUUCGGCCAGAAGUUGUCAAAAUAUUGAGCAUGGUAAAAUCUGUCGCUUCGGCCGGAUUUACCAAGGAUUAAUUUGAGCAAAGGAGGGGCAUCACGGAAGGUAAAAUCGCACGGUAAGUUCAAUAAGUCAAUAAUAAUAUGCGUUUUUGACUAAUCUAAUUGUUUGCAGGUAAGAUUUUAAUGGUGAAUCAGGUUCUAAUAGCGAACCAGACUCUAAUAGUGAGUCAGACUCCGAUAGUGAGUCAAUCUAUCUUGUCACUUUGGCCUUGAUAGACUAGAGAUCAUUUUGUCGUUUUGGCCUUAAUGAUCUCAACCCAUCUUGUCGCUUUGACCUUGAUGGGGUAACCGUCGUUGCGGACAAAAAGUCGCUCUUGAUCAGAGUUGACUAUAAACAUUAGUUCUAAUAGUGAAUUAGAUUCUUGUAGUGAACCAGAUUCUGAUAGUGAAUCAAUAAAUUUUGUCGCUUCGGCCAGAGACUCUGAUAGUGAGUCAAUUCAUCUUGUCGUUUUGGCUUUGAUGAUAUAUCAAAAGUCGCCCUUGAUCAAGGAUGGACUAUAAACACGUAGUUUCGUUGGCCUGGAACUAGAUUCUGGUAGUGAAUCAAUUCAUCUGAUAGUGAUGGACACGAGAUCAUUGUGUCGUUGUGGCCGCAAUGAUUCAAUCCCAUCUGAUAGUGAUGCGGAUCGCACAACAUCCUUGCUUGGGGGGGGGAUACUGGUGAGACAUGCCUGAUUACGUCAGUCACUCACAGCAACGCUCUUCAACAAGGACUAGGGUUCCGUCGUUUUAUGCCGAACCCCCGGAGAGCUCCACGGUUGCGGGAAAGUGUCUACGUCAAGUACUCAAGUUAACACUGGGAAUCGACGAUUGGGACUACCAAGUCGCCGACUCCAGAGGUGAGCCACCGAUUCCAGACCAAGUUGGCCAGCUCUGGUAGACUGCCAACCUGGCUCUUGGGGAAUCGAUGGCUCCACCCUGAGUCGACGACUCCCAUACCUGAGUCGUCGACUCCCAGGCAUUACUUGACUUGGCCCGCGUCAUUAUGGCACCAUCAAUGGGGAACCAUAAUGGCGUGGGCCCCAGGAAUAAUGAAUGAGAAACGCCCCAAGGACCCUAUAAAAGGGGCCCUUGGGGGUCCUCAUUCUCUCCAACAUCACUUGACUACACACUCCAACCAGAGCACAUCUAGGAUCCCGAGUCGCCGACUCCCAUAUUUGAGUCGUCGAUUCCCCUCCUCUCUGCAGGUAUUUGACAUAGAGCGCGCGUCGUGGACUCCAAAGCCUCCGGCUCAUCUCGCAACCCCGCGAGCCCCCUGGUAGCAGAUUACGUGCUUCAUCAGCUGGCGCCGUCUGUGGGAAUAUCGAACUACGAUAUCCCGUUGUAAUCGCGAAAUUUUUUUCGCAAAGUUUGGCUCGAUUCCCUUCGGGUGAAUCGCUGACUUUGUGUCAAGGAAUCGUUGAUUCAUACCAGCAAUCGCCGACUCUACCUAGUGAGUCGUCGAUUCCGGGAUUAUUCUGCUAGCUAAGAGUGUUGUCCUCGACUUGGCUCGAAAGAGAAAAAACCUAAGGCCAAUCGCCGACUCCACCUGCUGAGUCGCCGAUUCCACUUGGUUUCUUUCGAGUUAGUUCGGUCAAUACUUGCGCUUCGGUUGGAAUUCGCUUUUGUCGCCAAUGACAUCUGAAAGACAAAAGCGCGAUUACCAUUUGAGGAACAAAGGUAAAUCCUCAAUGAUGCCCGGAGGGGCACAAACUGAGCUUCCUCAGCAUGACAGGCCAACAGUGCCAGAAAGGUUUGAGGAUGCUCAAACUGACAUACCCUCUCAGGCACCAUCCAUUCCUCCCACUCUAGAAGCGAGGUUGAUUAACUUCAUGGAGACCAUGGAAAAAAGGGUUAACAACCUCGAGAGAGCGAGGAGUCAGAGGACCAUCGCCCGCGAAGGAGCGGGUGAAUCGGCCUCUCACUAUUCUCCAUCUGCGGAGAAAAAAGAAGAAGGGUCCAGAACCACCUAAGUCAAAGGCUGGACCUAGUAAGAGUCGCACUGACAAAACUCUUACAACACGGUUCGUGGAAGAUCUCCGUCGGAAGCUGGCCGACGAUCCAGUCGCCAGCAGUCCGAUCGAGUUCCUAAGAAUCAAAAGUGCUCCUUUUCAUGAGGACCUUUUGAGGGUAUCUUUUCCACCAACCUGGCGGGUACCCAGGAUAGAAGCGUAUGACGGUUCGAGUGAUCCAAAAGAUCACAUCAACCUCUACCUUAAUGUCUUGGAACCGCAGACCACCGAUAAUGCGCUGUUGUGUCGGGCAUUCCCCGACACUCUCAAGGGCAACGCUUAUCGGUGGUUUUCUGGUCUGCCAGCUGGAUCAAUCUCCAGCUUUGUAGACCUCUCAUCCAAGUUCAUCGCCCAACAUGUGGGGAUGAUCAUGAUCAAACACAGUGUCAAUGCACUGCUGACACUACGACAUAACAAGAUGUCGUUGAGGGAUUACACGAUUAAGUUCACUUCAAUGAUGACAUAAGUGAACGACCUAAUCCCGAGUCUGGCCAUAACGGGGUACAUGAAAGGGCUAAUACCCUACUCCCCUUUGGCCCAGAAUCACUUGCCGUCGCCUAACUAUACUCGAAGUUAUUGUGUUUUGUAGACUUGCGGACUCUUUUCGGGCGAGACGGAUCUGGUUCACCAGGUCCUGGAAUCAUUUCGGUAGAAGCCUCUUCCGCUCUGUCGUCUUCCAGCUCCAGUUUUAACGUGAGCACGUGUUAUGCUUCCUCUUGUUCAAUUAAUAUUGUUACAUCAUAUUAACAUUUAUACCCAUUAUGCUGACUGUUAUCUGACCCUCUCAUCUUUCCUCCGCUCGGUGGUGAGGACUUACAAGGUGAUGUUGUCACAGUUUCCAUCGAAUUAGGGUACAAAGAAGAUAAUUGUCCUCAGUUAACCGAUUAGGGUACAAAAAAGCAAUCAUAUACGUCAUCUUUGGAGCCGCCAGAGCCGGAGUACCCUCUUUCUUUGAAGAUUUUGUCACCAUUGAGGUUGCGAUCUUUGAUUGUUGUGAUUUUCUUCCCAAAUCAAAGCCCAAUUUCACCUACCGAAACAAUCCUGACAAGUGACGUCAUGCGGAAGAGGGGAAAAAAUCUCAAAAUGAAUCAUUGCUCAAGAUACCAUGUAAAGAUUUGAUGGUUUAAGUAAUUGGGUUUAGUAGAGUUUAAAUAGAAGAUUAAUUAACAAGAAUUGUAGCUGAAUCAUAAUCACCAAAGUGAUCAAAAUAAAAAAGAAAGAAUAAGAAGAAGAUGGUGAUAACUACAUCUGUUAACAUACAAAGAUUGAGUAAAAGAUGAUUUUAGAAAGAGUUUAGAAAAGUGAUUUUACAAUAUCGAUUUCAUUGCUUGUAUUUAAAUAAUACAUAUUAAUUUAAGUAUCCACUCAAUACUAUUUUAUUACCAGACUGCCAUUAAGGGGUUACCUAUGUUUUUGUCCUUACAGUCUUUUCCGGUGCUUCUCGUAGGGUUUUGGAGAUGGAAGAUACAAAAAAAUAGGUUUAUGUGAGGUGGAGUUGUAAAAGAGAAGAUGGUGUAGACUUUGGAUAGGCCUGUAAAUCAAUUUUGAUAUCCGGAUUUAAACGAACCGAAUUCGGAUAUCAGGGUAUCCAGUUCGUUUAAAUUGAAUAUUUAUAUUAUUAUAAAAUAUAAAUUUACAUAUAUACAGAAAAUAUCAGUCACGGUACCUGUCCUCACCGGACACCGAACGGUACCGUGCUUAGAUGCCGUCAAAAUUACAUUGAUCGUUCCUUGAGUCGUUCCCGCCCUGAUGCAAUGGCGCGCAUCCACAUGGCUACAAGUUGCCUAGCCAUAGAGGUAUGGCUCGCCUGCUACCACCUUAAAUACAUAAUACAAUGAUGCGCGCGUGUACGAUUUCUUGAAUCACGUCGUCGCGGAACUCCAAAUCACGUCGUGUACAAGUAUUAGAGGAAGUUGAUUCUUUAAAGAGAAGCUUGGACAAACAUCAGGCAGCUCAAGAAAGGACAGAGUUGUUACAAAGAGCUGUAUGUCAAUUACUAAACUCUUUUCUGAUUUACUAUACUGUUUUAGAUAAAUUCACGAAACAGAUCGUUAUUGAGCAUUGCAUUUGAUGGACACACCAAUUUCCUCUUGCAAAUGGUGAUACCGACCAUGUUUUAAGUAUCUUCGACGAUGAAGCACAAGCUAUGCAGUCUGCUCAUAAUUCUUUCAAAGUGCUUCAUGAAGCUUAUGAUACUGCAGUUGCCAUAUUCUUUCUAAAUAUGCUGAACAGAAAGAUCGUCUUAAGGUAAACUAUUUCAACGUUAUUUUUAUUUGAAGUUGAAACACAUGGUAUAAUAUUGAAUGGCUUAUUUGAAAUGCAGAGGGCACAAAGGAAAGCAUUGGACGUCAUGAACACACUUGGUCUCUCAUGAACUGUAUUGAAACUCAUCGAAAGGCGUCACCGUGUAGACAAAUGGAUUGCUUAUGGUGGCAUGAUUGUUGUAGUCGUUGUUGUGUACAUGUGUUUGGAGAUGGAUCCAUUAGUGGAGUAUAUAUCAAGAUUCAAGUAGCCUGAAAUUAUAAUGUUGGAAAUAUAGUAAAAAUGUAGGAUGUUUUACUCUGCUUUUUUAGCUUAUUUCAUAGACAAUGAUGCAUAAAAAAUGUGAAAAUUUUCCUUUUGUAUUCAUUCGUGUAUAAAUACAAUUUAUUAGAACGAGAUUGAUUGUAUUGAUCUUUAAUCACCGUUGAUUUGUUGUUCAUAUUUAGACCUAAAUAUCAAAUUGAAUUCAUAGAAUUUAUCAAGAAAAUCAUUCGCUAAAUGAUGAGUAACUAUUAAGUGACUACAGAAUCCAUGUUAUCAAAUUGACCAAAACAAUGAUGUCAAACGCAGCUUUUUUUUGGGUAAAAACCAGACACUAAUCAAACAUGAAGAUUCAGCAAAGCCAGAUCAGGAGCGGCAUGCAUAUCUGCAAAAAAUCAACAGAUUAUCAAACAAAAAUGAAAAAAUAGCUGUUCUAAAUUCUAAUCGGCGAAAACGAAUACCAAUUUGUGGGGAAAAUAAAUACAUAAUAGGAUGAUGAUCGAUUAAAUAAGAAGAUUGACACACCGCGAUUUUGAUCUAACCUGGAAGCUGCAAACUCGAAAUGGAAUUGGGGAAAAUAAAACCGAGCUCCAGGCGAGAAGGAAAUGGGUGUUGAACGAAUCGCCCGAUAUCGGAAUGGGGGAGUGAAAUAGGAGAUUUUGUCGCAGGUCAUUACAAAUGGAUGUUGCUAAAAUAUAAAUUUAAUAAAUAGAGGAACAGUAGCAGGUAAAGCUGCAGCAUGAAUUCGACUACCGCCGUACUGCCUCCGGUCUUUUCGGACACCCGAACAGACGGUCACCACAAACCUAGCGAUUUGGUGUCGUAAAAUGAGUCUUUUUGAACUAGUACCGUUCUGGAUGUUUUUCCUACAUAUAUAACCUUUAAAUGUUAUAAUUUAUAUAUUUAUAUAUAGUUUGUUAAUAUUAUUUACUAUUGAGAGUCUAUUUAUAAAAUUUUAAAAAUAUUUUUAAGUUUUAUUUUUUAAUUACAGUAUAUAUUUGUUAUUAUUUUUGAAUUUUAUAAUUUUUUUUUAAUAAUUUUUUUUUAUAAAUUUUUUUUUUAUAUAAAUAUUAUUUGAAUUCGGUUAAAAUAACCGAAUUCGAAUUCGGAUAUCAAAAUUCAAAUUCGGAUAUGAUGGUAUUCGAUUCGUUUACAGACCUAACUUAGGAGAGAAUUUUUUUUUCAAACGCCAUAUUACAUUAAUUGGUGUAAGUGAAAAUCAAAGUUGUUUUAAUUUCCGAAAAACAAAUUAAAUAAUCUACUUACAAACGCAAGUUUCAACUUUUCUUCACAGCCAUCGAUUUAAUUCAGAAAAAAUGGACGGAUGAGAUUUGGAAGCCUUCUCAUCUGAUACCGACGUGAAAAAAUAAUAACCGUUGAAUUGACAAUUGACGAUCAAAUGUCUAUGUUCUUACUUAAGGGGAAAUAACAGGUUCAUACCUGAAAUUUGUUCUGAAAAAUAAAUAUAUAGGACGCACAUAAGAUAAAAUAAUAACCGAAUUGUUUUUGCGCUGUUAAAUUUGUAACAGUUGUUCGACAGAAUUGUGGAAAGUUUCAUCAUACGUACAUAUUGUUCUGACAACUUAUAAAUUUAGCAAUAUUAAUAUUAUAAAUAUAGUGAACAAUUGUUGUUCAUUAAUAAAUGUAGUGUUGUACCAGAAGUAUUAUAGGAUAUGCUACCUAGUAUUAGGGGUAGCCGAGUAGGGUGUCAAAUAAAACUUGACUCGAUGGACUCGGCUCGUUAAGCUCGAUGGGUUCGGUAAGAAGAGUAUAAUAAUAAUAAUAAUAAUAUUAUAUUUGGAAAGAAUGAGGAUAUAACUUAGAUGGUAAAGUAUUUAUUUAGCAUGGGAGAGGUUGUUGGUUUGAUAUUCCACUUUUUCAAAAUAUUUAUUUUAACAUGCAAUUUCAGUCUGAACUUGGCCAAACCAGGCUCGUGAGCUCAAGCCCGAGUCCGAGUCUGGAUAACUCCUUAACGAGCCGAAUCGAGCUUUGGCUUAUUGAGCCGGACGCGGCUCGUUUGACAUCCUAAUUAGGGGACAACAUUUUUAAAAUCAAAAUCAUCAGAUGGUAUUAUAUUGAAGGUAUUAUAUUGAAGGUAUUAUACAAAAACAUCUGAAUCAUGCAUCAGAUAAAAUGAUAAUGAGUGGACUAUCCAUGGAGUUAAAAGAAGUUGAAGAAUGCUAUGAAAAUAAGGGCUAGAGGUUGGAGAUGAAGUUUGAAAACUAAGAGUCUGUAGCUUACAAUAGUGUACAAAUGAAAAGUAUAAAGGCCACCUUAGAAGCAUGGAAGAUGUUGACCCUUGUACGACGACGAUGGUGGAAAUGAUCAUUGGAGAAGAACGUAUUUGCCAUAAAAAAUAAAAUACCUUGGGGGAAGAUGAGUCUUGGGCAGAAUGUCGAGCGAAAGUUGAAGAUGAUGGUGUGUAAAACGAAAUGAUAAAAAUCUUGGUUGGAAGAAUCAAAGAUAUUAGUUAAAGUAGAUAACGGAACAGUUGGACAUGUUUUAGUUCUGACUAAAUUGAAAAAGUGGUAUACACAAAUCAACAAUUAAUGAUAAAUAGUUAAAAAACAAAUACACAUUGAUAAAAGAUAUAAAAAUAAAAAAAUAUCAACAAUUAAAUGGAUGAGGUUUUUUUUUCUCACUUGUUGGUCGGACGUUGUUCACUGAGGAAGACAAUUGAGUGACAGGAAGAUGACCGCACGAUGAAAAAAAGCUAAACAACGACAAGUUCAGCGCAAGAUGAAGUAUAAAACUUCAACGUGCCAUAUAUAAAUCCUAAAUAUAUAAUACAACAUAAAUAUCUUAUAAGCGUCUAAUCUCACUUGGAGAGAAGAAAGAUGCAUGUAAUUUUUUUUAACUGUUUAGAUUUGACUGAGGUUUUUAUUUAAGUGUUGGCUCAUCUAAAAAUUGUUAUAUUAGAAAAACUAUAACCAGUAAAAAAAGCAUGCAUUUCUGGUUAUGAAAAAAAGAUAAUAGAAAGAGAUGUAGUUAUUUUUUAGAAUUAUGUAACAAUGUUUAGAUUUUUAUUCUAAUUAUUUAGACUUAACUGAUAACUAACUGGUAACUAACUUACCUGUAACAUAAUUGGCUACAAUUCCACCACCGGCCAUAUAAAUACCUUACGAAUUGAUGAUUGUUAGAAAAUAAAUUAACAAUAGAUACGACAUAAUAAUAUACAUAAUUAGCAUUAUGUCUCGUUUCAAUAAGAUCUUCAUUCUCGCCGCGGUUUUCCUUCUCUCCGACUUGUUCCUCUCAUCCUCCUUCAUCUUCGUCGAUGGGAAGAAUUGCGACAAGGUCGAGGAGAUCAACAAAGAGAAUGCCGACGUUAAAAAUCAAUAUGGAGCCCAAGCUGUUUCUGAAGCCAACUCUAAAAGUGAGGUUGUAGCUAAUGAUAAAAACAAAGCUGUGGAAUAUGCCAAAGGUAAAGACAACUAUGAAGCCACCGCCGACAAUCAAGUUCAAGCUCACGAUCAAGAUCAAUCGAAAGCCGAAAGUUAUGACAAAAUUGAAAACAAGUUGAAACUAGAUAUCAAGGAUGCUUCCAAAGUAAAAAACGAUGACCAAAAUGAAGCCAAAACUGCCGCCAAAGAUGGCGAUCAGAAAGCUGAGGCGGAAGCAGAUGGUAAAGCUAAGGAUGAAGCUGAAAAGAUGGCAGGAGAAGAAUCUCAAUAUAAAGAUGAUGCAACAAACCAAGCAAACACAUACAAUGAAGCAGAGAAAAAAGCUGACGCCAUCGUCCAGAACAAAGAUGAUGCCAAAAUUGAAGCUCAAGCCCAAGCCGAUAAUGAAGCCAAAGCUAAAGAUGAUGCUCUAGCUGAAUCGAAAAUCGCUGUUAAAGCUUUAGAUGCCGCCAAAGAUGUAGCUAAAUUUGACUCCGAGGUUGAGAAAAAAGAGAAAGAAGAAGCUGAUUCUGAUGCCAAGAAUGCAACCAAAGACCAAGCCGAAGCUGACAAUGAAGGAAAAAUUGAGAAAAAAGAGGAAAACAAGGCCGAAGAGGAGGCCAAAGAUGAAGCUAAAGAUCAAGCCGAUGUAAAAAACGAUGCUAACGCAGAAGAAGAAGCUAAAGCCAAAGAGCAAAACGCUAACAAUGCUGAAGCCACACUUAAAAGUGAAGCCAAUGAGGAUGCUAAAGCUGAAUUUGAUGACAAAUCUAAAGCAAAAGAUGAUGCUAAAGCCAAGGAUGCGGCCGAAGAAGAAGCAAAGGAUGAUGAAAAAGCUAAGGACAAAGCGUUGGAUGAUGCAAAGACCAAAUCCAAAGAUGAAGCCGAAGCUGAUUCUGAAGCUAAAGAUGAUGCAGAUGCAGCAACUAAAGAAGAAAAUGAGGCUAAAACUGAUGCUAAUGCUGAAGCCAAUGCCGAAUCUAAAGCAAAUGCGGCUGCUUCUGCUGAAGCCAAUGCUAAAGCUAAUGCUAAUGUCGCUGCUUCUGCUCAAGCCAAUGCUGAAGCUAAUGAUGCUAAUGCAGAUGCUU